GGUACAGACCCGGAGGAGACCAUUCUCCAUGCCUUCAAGGUGUUUGACACCGAAGGGAAAGGUUUUGUCAAGGCUGAUUUCAUGAAAGAGAAGCUCAUGACCCAGGCCGACCGGUUCAGUGAGGAGGAGGUCAAGCAGAUGUUUGCGGCUUUCCCGCCAGAUAUGUGUGGUAACCUGGAUUACCAGAACUUGUGCUAGGCCAGGGACCCCC